GUAUUUUGAAUUAAGUAAUUCAGAAAUAUCGUUUUUCAGACAAUUGGUUUAAUUAAAGAGUUGAUUAUAAAAAAAAAAACAUUGCACACAAGGUGGAUAUGGAUUUUUUUAAAAGUGCCAUAUAAAAUCACUUUUAUUGUGAAUGAUCCUUCCGCAGGUUCACCUACGGAAA
rnacentral:misc_RNA from 1 species